GGCUACUUCACGUUGAAACAUCGGUUCUCUUAUGAUCAUCGAAGUUAAGCAACGUCGAGCCUGGUCAGUACCCCAGAUGGGUGGCCGCUUGGGAAUACUCGGUGCUGUAAA